AUUGAACGCUGGCGGCAUGCCUUACACAUGCAAGUCGAACGGCAGCACGGGAGCAAUCCUGGUGGCGAGUGGCGAACGGGUGAGUAAUAUAUCGGAACGUGCCCGGUCGUGGGGAUAACGUAGCGAAAGCUACGCUAAUACCGCAUACGAUCUACGGAUGAAAGCGGGGGAUCGCAAGACCUCGCGCGAUUGGAGCGGCCGAUAUCAGAUUAGGUAGUUGGUGAGGUAAAGGCUCACCAAGCCGACGAUCUGUAGCUGGUCUGAGAGGACGACCAGCCACACUGGGACUGAGACACGGCCCAGACUCCUACGGGAGGCAGCAGUGGGGGAAUUUUUGGACAAUGGGCGCAAGCCUGAUCCAGCAAUGCCGCGUGCAGGAUGAAGGCC
rnacentral:rRNA from 1 species